GAUGAAGAACGCAGCGAAAUGCGAUAAGUAAUGUGAAUUGCAGAAUUCAGUGAAUCAUCGAAUCUUUGAACGCACAUUGCGCCCGCUAGUAUUCUGGCGGGCAUGCCUGUCCGAGCGUCAUUUCAACCCUCAAGCCCCCGGGCUUGGUGUUGGGGAUCGGCGAGCCUCCGCGCCCGCCGUCCCCUAAAUCUAGUGGCGGUCUCGCUGUAGCUUCCUCUGCGUAGUAGCACACCUCGCACUGGGAAACAGCGCGGCCACGCCGUUAAACCCCCAACUUCUGAACGUUUGACCUCGGAUCAGGUAGGAAUACCCGCCGAACUUAAGCAUAUCAAUAAGCGGAGGA
rnacentral:misc_RNA from 1 species